rnacentral:rRNA from 1 species
UACGUAGGGGGCAAGCGUUGUCCGGAUUUACUGGGCGUAAAGCGCGCGUAGGCGGAACUUCAAGUCCGGUCUGAAAGCCCCCGGCUCAACCGGGGAGGGUGGCUGGAAACUGGGGUUCUUGAGGGCGAGAGAGGAGGGUGGAAGUCCUGGUGUAGCGGUGAAAUGCGUAGAGAUCAGGAGGAACACCCGGGGCGAAGGCGGCCCUCGUGGCUCGACCCUGACGCUGAGGCGCGAAAGCGUGGGGAGCGAACAGG